rnacentral:rRNA from 1 species
AACGAACGCUGGCGGCAGGCCUCAUACAUGCAAGUCGAGCGAUUAAGACUCCUUCGGGAGUGUAUAAAGCGGCGAACGGGUGAGUAACAGGUGGAUGAUCUACCUUCCGGUGGGGGAUAACGGCUGGAAACGGCCGCUAAUACCGCAUUCGGUUAAUACGCUGUGGCGUAUUAAAGAAAGGCGCCUCAAAGCGCCGCCGGGAGAUGAGUCCGCCCCCCAUUAGCUAGUUGGUGAGAUAACAGCUCACCAAGGCAACGAUGGGUAGCCGAACUGAGAGGUUGAUCGGCCACACUGGAACUGAGACACGGUCCAGACACCUACGGGUGGCAGCAGUAGGGAAUAUUGGGCAAUGGGCGAAAGCCUGACCCAGCCAUGCCGCGUGAGUGAUGAAGGUCCUAGAGAUUGUAAAACUCUUUUCUGAGGAAAGAAUGAAUAGGGAAGGAAAUGUCCUUAUUUUGACGGUACCUCAGGAAUAAGGAACGGCUAACUACCGUGCCAGCAGCCGAC